CAUGAAGCUGUCUAUAGCUCUUUUGAGCGUGGUGGCUCUCGUGGCCGUCAGCGGCCUGCCACAACCAAGGCCAGAGCCCAGUCUCGGAGGAUACGAAGAGAUCUCCAGUUCCUCCAAGAAGUC